rnacentral:rRNA from 1 species
GACGAACCGUGCGAACGUUGUUCGGAAUCACUGGGCUUAAAGGGCGCGUAGGCGGGUCGCCGCGUCCGGGGUGAAAUCCUCCCGCUCAACGGGAGAACGGCCUCGGAUACGGGCGGGCUGGAGGCGGGUAGGGGCACGCGGAACUGUGGGUGGAGCGGUGAAAUGCGUUGAGAUCCACAGGAACUCCGGUGGCGAAGGCGGUCUGCUGGGCAGUUUCUGACACUGAGGCGCGACAGCGUGGGGAGCAAACAGG